CUGCGAUAUGACAGAACUGUGGGGACGCAUGUGGAAAGCAUAAGCACGGAAUGGAAAGCCGUGUACAAGCGAGGUAGGAGUCACGUAGGAAAAUCCGCGUGGCAAUCCAAAGGCAUGAUGUGGACCGAACUUUCAGUAGGGAAGUAUGUGAGCCAUGUGCCGGGAAAAGCCGCUAUUGUUCAUACCGCACCCGUACCGUAAACCGACACAGGUGGAUGAGGAGAGAAUCCUAAGGCCGACGGAAGAAGCAUUGUUAAGGAGCUCGGCAAAAUAGCCCCGUAACUUCGGGAGAAGGGGUGCCUGGAAACAGGCCGCAGAGAAUUGGCCCAAGCAACUGUUUAGCAAAAACACAGGUCUAUGCGAAACCGAAAGGUGAGGUAUAUGGGCUGACGCCUGCCCGGUGCUGGAAGGUUAAGAGGAGAGCUUAGCGCAAGCGAAGGUUUGAAUUUAAGCCCCAGUAAACGGCGGCCGUAACAAUAACGGUCCUAAGGUAGCGAAAUUCCUUGUCGGGUAAGUUCCGACCCGCACGAAAGGCGUAAUGAUUUGGGCGCUGUCUCGACAAUGCAUCCGGUGAAAUUGAAGUACCAGUGAAGAUGCUGGUUACCUGCGCCAGGACGGAAAGACCCCAUGGAGCUUUACUCCAGCUUGACACUGGGAUUCGGUAAUGCAUGUACAGGAUAGGUGGGAGGCAAUGAAAUAGGGACGCUAGUUUCUAUGGAGCCGCUGUUGGGAUACCACCCUUGCGUUAUUGGAUUUCUAACCUGCCGCCGUUACCCGGCGGGGGGACAAUGUCUGGCGGGGGGUUUGACUGGGGCGGUCGCCUCCGAAAGUGUAUCGGAGGCGCCCAAAGGUUCCCUCAGAAUGGUUGGAAACCAUUCGAAGAGUGCAAAGGCAGAAGGGAGCUUGACUGCGACACCGACGGGUGGAGCAGGUACGAAAGUAGGGCUUAGUGAUCCGGUGGUAUUAAGUGGGAAUGCCAUCGCUCAACGGAUAAAAGCUACCCUGGGAUAACAGGCUUAUCACUCCCAAGAGUUCACAUCGACGGAUUGGUUUGGCACCUCGAUGUCGGCUCAUCGCAUCCUGGGGCUGUAGUAGGUCCCAAGGGUUGGGCUGUUCGCCCAUCAAAGCGGUACGCGAGCUGGGUUCAGAACGUCGUGAGACAGUUCGGUCCCUAUCCGGCGCGGGCGUAGGAUAUUUGAGAGGAGCUGCCCUUAGUACGAGAGGACCGGGGUGGACUGACCUCUGGUGUACCGGUUGUCAUACCAAUGGCACGGCCGGGUAGCCAAGUCGGGCAGGGAUAAACGCUGAAGGCAUCUAAGCGUGAAGCCCCCCUCAAGAUGAGAUAUCCCAAGACCCCUCGAAGAACACGAGGUAGAUAGGGCAGAGGUGGACGUGCAGUAA
rnacentral:rRNA from 1 species